AAAGCCUUCCUGAAUCUAUUGUCAAUAAAAUUGUUUGUACAAUGCGAUGAAUUUAUGUCAGAUAUUUUAGGUGCAUUUAUUUAUAUUGUGUAAAUACAUAACACAGUUUUAAAUAUUCCCAGACUAAGGAAUGUUCAUAUCUCAUAUUAAAACGGAAUGCUCUGAAGCUUGAAUGCUUAUUUGAAGUAAUAUAUGCGGCUGAAUUCUGUCAUCGGAUGUCGAGAUAGAAUGCAAAAUUCAAUCCUGUCCACGUCGACGCCUGGCGCAUUUUAAGAUACUAUCCUCGCCGCGUACCUCCUUGUGGUACCAGCUGUCAGUACAGGUGUUUCAGAACCAAUAUGAUUUAGGAGCAUUUAUAAAAAGAGUGUACCAUUCCCUGACCGGCAACACACCCGCUAGCCACUAACGUUGCAGUGUUCGUAGGCAGCGGUUAUUAUUUUAUUAAAGGAGACCUGAUAGUUUGCCAUACAGGAGUCGCAUAAAAAGAAUUGGUCUUCUGAGUUGAAUACAACAGUAUAUGCUUCCUCAUAAGCUAGUGGCAAAAAGAAACUAUAUUUUUAAGCAUUUGAAAUCGUUUAGCAAUUAAAAAGCUUGUUUGUCACUUAAAAGUCGUUAUCAGCUAAAGCGUGAAAUAACUGAUACAUAAGUGAAUUCAGAGGCGAACUCUUCUUUGAUGGAAAUAAAUGUCACUGUUUUUGAUUAUUUUAAUAAGGCUUUAUAUGGAGACUAUUGUUCAUUAUUUAGUAUAUUUUUAGUGAUUGUAAUUUAAAUUCAAGGAUGAUAUUAAUUAAUAUGAUGGUUUGGUGAAUAAUUUUUCAAUUAAUUACUAUUAUUUAUUCAAUUUUUUUGAGUUUUUAGUUGUUUGCAAUUUGAUCCUGUGUCGAUUUUACUCGAAAUAGAGAAAGUUUCGUUCAAUAGGUUCUAUAAAAUAAAUAUGUUCAUUUAACCAACAAGUUUAAGAGGCGCUGUCUGACAUUUUAAUAUGGCCUAAUAAUCAGAAAGAGUAAAAAACCAUAGAGUGGACCGGUGGGCUUUGGCAUUACACUAGAUUGAUGCUGGGCCCCUCCCCCUCCCUUCCUUUGAGUCCCUGAUCCCUCAAUGAUGCCUUUGUUUUAACCAUGUUAUUUGAUUGUAAUCAUUAUAUUGUCUUCGUCAAGCGGUAACAUACUAAUAAUACCUUGUAACAUUCUUGUACGUAUUUGGAAACGAAUACCUGUUGGUAUUCGUUGUUAUUGUAAGAUUUUUGUAUAGCGAAAUUGUUUAUGCACGACAUCUCGUGGUAGCUGUUGAUACUUUGAUAACUCGUUAUUUUUCAACGUUAUUCAGAACCGGAGAAACUACAAUUCAAUGUGUAUUUUUUUAAUACAUUGUUAUUAUGUUGUU